CAGCCCCUCGAGGGGUGGGGAUGAUUAUUUGGCCUAAAGCGUCCGUAGCCUGCUCUGUAAAUCGCUCGUUAAAUCCAGCGUCCUAAGCGUUGGGCUGCGAGGGAGACUGCAGAGCUAGAGGGUGGGAGAGGUCAGCGGUAUUCCUGGGGUAGGGGCGAAAUCCAUUGAUCCCAGGAGGACCACCAGUGGCGAAGGCUGCUGACUAGAACACGCCCGACGGUGAGGGACGAAAGCUGGGGUAGCGAAUCGGAUUAGAUACCCGAGUAGUCC
rnacentral:rRNA from 1 species